rnacentral:rRNA from 1 species
GAUGAACGCUGGCGGCGUGCUUAACACAUGCAAGUCGAACGAUGAAGCCCAGCUUGCUGGGUGGAUUAGUGGCGAACGGGUGAGUAACACGUGAGUAACCUGCCCUUAACUCUGGGAUAAGCCUGGAAACUGGGUCUAAUACCGGAUAGGAGCGUCCACCGCAUGGUGGGUGUUGGAAAGAUUUAUCGGUUUUGGAUGGACUCGCGGCCUAUCAGCUUGUUGGUGAGGUAAUGGCUCACCAAGGCGACGACGGGUAGCCGGCCUGAGAGGGUGACCGGCCACACUGGGACUGAGACACGGCCCAGACUCCUACGGGAGGCAGCAGUGGGGAAUAUUGCACAAUGGGCGCAAGCCUGAUGCAGCGACGCCGCGUGAGGGAUGACGGCCUUCGGGUUGUAAACCUCUUUCAGUAGGGAAGAAGCGAAAGUGACGGUACCUGCAGAAGAAGCACCGGCUAACUACGUG